GCCUGCGUUGUCACCUGAGAUAGUGUGGAGGGUGGCAGAGGAGUCUUCAGAAAGAUUGGAAUAUGAGAUUAAAGUUUUUGGAGAAAAAGCUAAAAGAUACGUUUCAUGUGAAUGUCUCAAAUUGCAGGUCUACUGAUUCUCUGUGGAAACUAGAUCAGGAAGGAUUUCUGCUAAACUCAAGGUGCACAUUGUACAAAUCCAUAUCAGAAGAGCUGAGUUUAUGGGGGUGACCUCUCCAAACUGCAGGGUUACUCACAUCUGGGCAUUCUUCUCGAUCACUCACCAUCCUAACAGGAAAAGUCACACAGUGGUCGGAUGGUUUCUCAAUUCGCAAGGCAAACAGUUCAUGGGUACAAACAAGAUGGAGCGUCUCAGCUCUGCAAAUGGAUACUAGUACCUGGAUUCUUGAAUACAGAUCAAGCUUAUUGUUGGAGAACUCAAGAUUCCUUUUGGCAGUAUUAGAGUUCUUGAAGUUCAGAAUGUCAAGAACAGUUAGAGAGAUGAUGAAGCAAUUUUGGCUCUUGCCUGCCUUUCUUCACCAUUAUACUGAUCAUUUGGACGAUGUUUAUAGACAUCCAACCUAAGAUGUGCCAAAUCUAAUGCCUAGACAUCUGUUUUGUAAAGUAUUCGGUCUUUUUAUGUUUUGUAAAUUAAGUUUCAUAGUGAAAGAUGAUGGAAUUUUGUAAUCUCUCUAGACACAGUUUUGAGGCACUUCUUACUCUAGUUUGUAAAAGCAGGUUUCUUUUUUUUUUUUUUUAUGGGGUGGGGGGGUGUGUGUGGGGUGGAGGUUGUCUCUUAUGUCAAAAGUGAUAUUCUCACUUUUUGGACUGGUCCAUAAUCUCAUGUACUCUCUUGACCAUUUGGAUCCGUGGAAAUUCCAGCCCAAUCCUUCAAGUUCAGUUCAGGAAUCAGGAUAGGCUUGAUCCUUCCUUUGAUUCAUUACAUGGGAACCCCCACAAACAUUUGAAAACAGAGUU